rnacentral:rRNA from 1 species
UACGGGAGGGCAGCAGUGGGGGAAUAUUUGCACAAUGGGCGCAAGCCUGAUGCAGCCAUGCCGCGUGUAUGAAGAAGGCCUUCGGGUUGUAAAGUACUUUCAGUCGUGAGGAAGGUGUUAAGGUUAAUAACCUUAGCAAUUGACGUUAGCGACAGAAGAAGCACCGGCUAACUCCGUGCCAGCAGCCGCGGUAAUACGGAGGGUGCGAGCGUUAAUCGGAAUUACUGGGCGUAAAGGGCACGCAGGCGGUUAAUUAAGUUGGAUGUGAAAUCCCCGGGCUUAACCUGGGAAUGGCAUUCAAGACUGGUUAGCUAGAGUCUUGUAGAGGGGGUAGAAUUCCGAUGUGUAGCGGUGAAAUGCGUAGAGAUGUGGAGGAAUACCGGUGGCGAAAGGCGGCCCCUGGGACAAAGGACUGACGCUCAUGUGCGAAAGCGUGGGGAGCAAAACAGGGA